AUGGAGGAGAACAGUUCUGUCAGUGAGCAUAUACUCAAAAUGUCUGGGUAUAAUAAUCACUUGAUUCAGAAGGGAGUUAAUCUUCCAGAUGAUUGCGUCAUUGACAGAAUUCUCCAAUCACUGUCACCAAGCUACAAGAGCUUCGUGAUGAACUAUAAUAUGCAAGGGAUGAACAAGACUAUUCCCGAGCUCUUCGCAAUGCUGAAAGCUGCGGAGGUAGAAAUCAAAAAGGAGCAUCAAGUGUCUAUGAUCAACAAGACCACUAGUUUCAAGAAAAAGGGCAAAUGGAAGAAGAAGGGGAACUUCAAGACGAACGGCAAGCAAGUUGCUGCUCAAGAGAACAAACCCAAGUCUGGACCUAAGCCUGAAACUGAGUGCUUCUACUGCAAGCAGACUGGUCACUGGAAGUGA
rnacentral:rRNA from 1 species